AUUAUUGACUUUUCGAACGUAACAAUUAAAACCGUAGUCUGUGUGUAUAAUAAUAUUAUAAAAAAAUCGUCUGUCGUGCGCGUAUAUUGUGUUUGGGACUGUCAUGUUUGACGAGCCUCAGUGAAUGUUGCCGUUGUUGCUAUGUAACAGUUUUCGGGAAAUUCGCCCGUUUCACAUUUAGUCAGACUUGCUUUUUCGACAUUAUCUCUAUCGACUAUCAAGCGCAGCGCACCGCGCGCCAUCACUUUCGCAUCGCCGACUGCCGCAGUGCCGAACCGCCGUCAAGUGUCGAUAUCCACUAUCGUCUUCAGACAGGCGUCAUAAUAAUUAUUAUUUUAGUCGUUUUCAAUACACUUUUACAUUCCAACUCGUUCGCCCGAUACCGAAACGAUUAAUUUUAUCCGACAAAUCGUACAAGUGAUACAUACACGUUUGUCACCCACUACCUCAGCUCGAUCGGGAAAAUGUCCAACAACGACUGUAGAAUUUACGUGGGAAACCUGCCGCCCGACAUACGCACGAAAGACAUACAAGAUUUGUUCUACAAAUUCGGUAAAGUGUUGUUUGUCGAUUUGAAAAAUCAGAGAGGACCGCCGUUUGCCUUUGUCGAGUUCGACGACCCUAGAGAUGCAGAAGAUGCAGUUCAUGCUAGAGAUGGUUAUGAUUAUGAUGGCUACAGAUUACGUGUAGAGUUUCCACGUGGAAAUGGUCCACAUAGAAGUGGCGGAGGUGGUGGCAGUAGUAGUGGUGGUGGAAGUUAUAAUAGAGGAGGUGCUAGUGGUGGAAGCGGAAGAAGCAGAGGUCCACCAGCGAGGCGUUCUCAGUAUAGAGUACUUGUUACUGGAUUACCAGCGUCAGGAAGUUGGCAAGAUUUAAAAGAUCAUAUGCGUGAAGCAGGAGAUGUGUGUUAUGCAGAUGUAUACAAAGAUGGAUCUGGCGUAGUUGAGUUUUUACGUUAUGACGAUAUGAAAUAUGCUGUUCGUAAGCUUGAUGACUCGAGAUUCAGGUCUCACGAGGGUGAAGUAACAUAUAUUCGAGUAAAAGAUGAUUAUGGCGGUGGAAGCAGUCGUCGCAGUCGGGAUUAUAAUAGUCGCAGUCGUAGCCGCUCCGCUAGCUAUUCACCUAGAGAUCGUGGAACACCAACAUAUUCACCAGUUAGAAAAAGUCGUAGUUAUUCAAGAUCUCGUUCCCGUUCGUAAUAUUGAGGAUAACCAAAUGACUGCCUGUCUCAAGUCAAUGGAAAACAUUUUAAUGAUGAUAAUAAUGUAUUGCUUACUAUACUGGACAACAACCUUGCCCUCUUGUUUUUAAUCAGUGGACAUACAACAGAAUCCAUUCACUAAGUUAAUCAGUAUCACUGUACACUGGCCACCUGAUCAAUACAUCAUACAUUUUAUUGAUCAUUGCUACCAUGC